AACAGGCGUUGAGCUGCUAUUUCUCUUCUUUGUGUGGCAUGAGAGGGGCAAAAGCACAAAUUAAAGAGAUUAUGUUUUGUGGGAUUUUCUCCCCUAUUUCCCUUUCUUUUGGGACCAUCUGCCAUUGUCUUUAAAAGUUAAAAAGACACUGUGAGAGUGUGAAGGAUGUCAUCAGCAGCUGUGAAAACCCUCAACGCCUCUCGUCUCCGGUCCCAGACCUGCAUCUCACGCUCCUCCCCACACUGACCCUGUUUACAGGGCAAGGGCUGCACGUUUUACAUUUCCUGUGAUAAAGCUGCGAGAAUCAAGAUUGAAACAGCAAUUUAAGGGUUCUCUGGAAGGCCAGGACCUGCAAGCCCUAAGUUGGCCAGCCUCCACUCCUUGUCUCCAUUGUGACACGGCCACUGCCUAAACCUUAACUGGCGCAGAGUCUGAAGAAGAUGCUGGAGGUGCUCAAAUGUCCACUCAACCUCAAUGAUGUCAUCUGUGAACACUGCGGCGACAACAGCUUCGAGAGUCUGAGCCUGAAAAGCAUAGAGUCUCCUGUGUCCUUGGUACCCUGAGCUCCAAAGUCUCUGAUAGGUACCAUGUCUACAAAAGACUGUUCAUGAACAUGUUCCUCACUAGGAUUCCAAAAUACUAAAACAUGGUGGUAGCUACACCUCAUUACACUAAGAAAUGAGGAUGAUAGGAUUCUUUAGUGUUAGUAUUUGAAACACCAAAUCAAGAGAAGCUGCAGAGUAUGAAGUGGAGUUAAUGGAUUUAGAUGCUGAGCACCUUGAAACGCGAGGAUAAAAGUACAGCUGUCUAGUAAAGAUGCCUUCCCGUGAAUCUGCACAAAUAUACUGGGAUUUCAAUCUUACUGGAGAUGCUCUUAUAUCCGGUGCAAAACUUGGGGGACGUUUUCUGCAAGUGGAGAACUUCUUGGAAAAAAAGAACGUUAAAUUUUCCCUAGCAUGUAAUGUUAAUAAAGAGGAGAAAACAGUUACCAUAGAGAUGAAGAAGUGAGUUCCCUAGCUUUUUUCACAAUAGCUAUCCAUUGUCUCCUACAGUAACACCCAGUGUGUCUGCAGAGGUACUUCUUGCAAAAUUGCUGACAUACGUCACUUAAAUACUAUUUGGCCUCCAAGAUAAAAGACGGAGAAGAGUCUUAGGUGUUGAGAAAAUCUAAUAACACGAACCUUUUGAAGACGCUUUUGAGAUGCUAGUAUUUUUUGAAGUCUGUUAGCAUAUUUGUGCCUUAGUACAUAUGUAGAUAUCUUAUGUAAAUAACUUAGUUUUCCUCUCUCUGUUCUCUAAAAUUUAUUUUAAAAAUCCAAAGUUAAAACUGGUCUUGUUAACAUAAAAAC